rnacentral:lncRNA from 1 species
UUUGGUUUAACAGAUGGAAUGAUUCUUCUUUUAUUCAGCCUUAAAAUCGGCUUUUUCAUAUCUACAAUGAUUUCUUAGCAUAUGAUAAUAAAUGUUUGUGCACAUUCAAGGAUGUUGAAGAAACCAUCUGUGAUAAAUGUUAAUCACUGGGAGUUAACAAAUGUACUCAGGAUCCUUCAAGACUCUGUUGCUUGAUUUUUAUAGGUGUAAAUCAGAGACCUGAAGCCAUAAGCAAGACUAUGAUGCGUCGGCAUAAUGCAGAGGUGGAGAGCAGGUGGCCCACGGAACCUUACAAAAUGGAAAGACAAGCAGCAUUUACGGAGUACUCACUGUAUGCUUGACACCAUGCUAGAACUUUUGCUCCUUCUGGCUCAUCUAACCUCCUUAAAAGCUCCUUUCAGGAAGUCUUGGUUACAUAUUAGGUAACUAAAGCUUAGAAGAGUGAAUUAACUUCUACAUGGUCACAGGUUGUGAGCUAUGGACCGCCACCUGAGUCCAUAUGCAGUGUGGGCUCUGGGUCACCUA